GGGUAUAUAGCUCAGUUGGUUAGAGCAUUAGACUUUUAAUCUAAUGGUCUUGGGUUCGAGUCCCAAUAUACUCA
rnacentral:tRNA from 1 species